UGAACCUGCAACCUCAUGGUUCCUAGUUGGAUUUGUUUCCACUGGGCCACAACGGGAACUCCCCCUUUUAACUCAUUUAAUCUGGUACUUCUGUCCCAUCUUCCAUAUAAGAAAAACUGAGGUACAGAAUGGUUAAGUCCGUUGCCCGAAUUCCUUCAGUUAAGGUUAAUCACCGCAAGUAUUAUGAUGGUUGGUUUUGUCAUUUGUCCCCACAAGGUCCCCACAUACUCAGAGCUUAUCCCCAAAGGAGUAAUUACAGAUCUGCCUCCUUCCUUCUUGAUUCUGGUCGGGGACCUCCUGAUGCAGCCCCGGAGGAAUGAUAAUGGCCAUGGCCAACACGGCUGCUGGGCUGGGCAGACCUGGAUCCAUGAUCUUCCCGCCAGGGCCACUUCCAGAUGAGGAAACUGAGGCACAGUUAGAAUUGCAAAGCCCAGGUCACGCCGCUAAAAGUGGCAGAGCCAGGAUUUGUACCCGGAAAUGUAGCAGGGCAUCUCGUCAAGCAAGCGGCACAGGGAGGACUCGAAUUUUCUGAGGACUGACUUCUUGGAGGAAACAGUCGGCUGUGUUUGGGCACAUGGUCUGUUGAAGAGAAGACAGAGUCAGCUGGUAGAGGACAGAAAAUCUGUGUGCCGAGGGGACCGAGAGCAACUGCCACAGAUGGUCCCUUGCACUUGGCCCCUGGGCAGGCCAGCAGCUCCGCCUCAGGGGAUGGCCCGACUGUUUGGAUGCUUUGUCCCAGGACUCUGAGAUCACCAGCCUGCAGAGGAGCAGAACUGCAUUCAGGGCAGGAAUCCCUCAUGAGCUGCUUCCCCCAUUGUUAAACCCUCAGCUUCCCUCCCUCUAAACUGGCCUGACAGGCCCCCCUGCCUCCCGCCUCUGAGGAUUUAUGGAGCAGUUCCCUGGAGGACCGCGGCACCAAGGCUGAGCUGCCCAGGGCUUAGCGGGUGAGGUGUGCCUAGGCCAACCGGUUGCCAGGCUGCAGCCCCCAGAGCAGACGGCAGAACCAACAGCCUCAGCCCUGCCUCCUCAGCCGUCCUGGGCACCCCCUCCCUGACAGGCAGCCUUCAACCCAGCUGAAAGGCCGGCCCUGCCCCUGGAGGCUGGUGGCCUCUGGGCUACCCUCAGAGGCCUUACGAGGCAGAUGCAGCCAAGAACAGGCCUCUGCUCUUCCAGGGAACAGCCACAGGGACACCACCUACCUCUGCGUGUUAAACAGGCCGGCAACACCACCUGGCUGACGUGAGGUACACAUGUUCCAGCCCUGCUGGCCCCUGUCCCCGCCACAGGGCCCUGCGAGGAGGAGGCAGUUCCUAAGGGAACAGCCUGUUCGGUGCCCAAGGUGGGGCGGCAGUUGGGAGGGUGGGUCCCCAGGUCACACCUGAGGACGCAGGCCCAGAACGUUCUCAUCCGUACAUGGGACGCUCUGCCUCGUGAAGGGCAGCCCGGGGCCUGGGGGGGAGUGAGCGCUCAGUGGGUGAGCUUUGUCGCUGCUGCUGUCACCACCCAAGCAGUCAAGAGCAGUCCCCCAGUUGCCGUGAGCUGUGGUGUAGGUCACAGACAUGACUUGGAUCCUCGAGUUGCUAUGGCUGUGGUGUGGCCGGCAGCUACAGCUCCGGUUGGACACUUAGUCUGAGAACCUCCAAGUGCCGCGGGAAAUGGCCCUAGAAAAGGCAAAAAGACAAAAAAAAAACAAAAACAAAACAGGACCCUCCAUUCACAGCCUGGCUCCUCCGUCACUGUCACCAUGUCAGAAGCUGUCUGAGCAUCAGUGCCCUCCCUGGUGGAGCGAGGUGAUGCCCAAGAGGAAGGGAUGUAGCCGCAGGAGACACCGCAGCCCCAGGGAGGAGGGGAGGCUGGGGCGGGGGUGGGCAGGGGGUGCCUGCAUCGCCAGGAACCGCCGUCCCCACGCUCCAUUCCCCUGGAGUGCUGCUUUCCUCACCCGCAAAUCUCGGGUGUCUCGGACCAUCAGGCAGGUGUGGGUUCUGAGUGUCCUCGCCUCACUGUACCCCUGUCCCCAGCCUCCAAAGGGAUGACAAGAUGGCCUGCCUCGCAGAGGCGGGUAAGGAGUCAGUGAGUGGUAGGCAAGUGUGCGGUUGUCACUGGCCUCUGCAAGCCUCUCCCCAGCAUACCCGCCCCUGCCAGCGGCCCGUCCCAGCCCUCCUGCCAGGAAAACCCGCCUGCAGACCUGGAGAGUGUGCGCCGGCAAGGUUGGCAGAACCCCCAGCUCAGGCAGCCGACAGUGGUGCUCAUUAGCUUAAUUAGGCUGACCCCGGGGGAGCCGCCCCAGUUGGAGGCCAGAGCUCCAAGUCAGCUGGGAUCAGGCCCAGCCCAGUCGGAGCCAUUGGUCGCCUUCCACCUUGGCCCUUCCGUCGUCGCCGGAGAAAGAAGUUGCUGUCGUUCGGGUCCUGACCGCAGAGCCUUCUGGGAUUUCUCUGUCUUUCAUUUUCUUUUCUAAUUAAGUGGCUUAAUUCAACAGCAUGGCAAAUGCACGUUCAGACAACCUAGGCAAAGUAGAGCUUCUGUCCAGUGCUGUCGGUCAGAACGUGGAGAGAGAGGGUACCUCCUUCCAGAUGCUGUCGUCAUUUAUGUUUUGAAAGGUAAAACACACACAGGAUCAAAACCAAACUCGUACAAAAGAUUUGCAGUGAAAACCUGUCUCCCUCCCCAGCCCCCAGCCGUCCUGCUUCCCUCCCCGGCUGCCGUUGCUUCAUUUCUUCUGCAUCCUUGCGGAAAUGUCCCCAAGCUGACGGAGCACAGGCGCCACGGCGUGCUUCCUCCUCGCCCCUUUUGCUUUAUCUACAUGGUCACCUUCUGUCUGUACGUGCCAGCCUUUUCUCAGAGGCAGUUGCAUAUUAGUACAUACAAGGUGAUCGCUUUCUUUUUAAUGGUCAGAGAGUAAUCCGUUUUCUCCUCAGAGGUCAUUAGGUUUAAACAUUUAUGGAGACCAGAGGUCUUGAGAAAAAGGAAAAAGGUAAGAGAUGCACACGCAGUCUGGGUUUUGGUUUUGGUUUUGUUUGUUAACCUGGAAUGAGUGUCAUUAUAAACUAUUGCUUAGAAUUCUCAACUUAGAAAAUACAUUGAGGUGAGAGUUCCUGUUGUUAGCGCAGCGGAAACGAACUAGGAUCCAUGAGGAUGUGGGUUCAAUCCCUAGCCUUGCUCAGUGGGUUAAGGAUCAAGCGUUGCCGUGAACUGUGGUGUAGACAGGCAGCUGUAGCUCCAAUUUGACCUCUAGCCUAAAAACUUUCUUACGCUGAGGGUGGCCCUAAAAAGCAAAAAAGAAAAAAGGAAAAAAAAAGAAAAUACAUUGAGGAGUUCUCCUAUGUUGCGCCAGGUUAAGGAUCCAGUGUUGUCGCUGCAGCAGCUUCUGUGGCAGCUGUUCAGUCCCUAGCCCAGGAACUUCCACAUGCCCCAGGCGUGGCCAAAAAAAAAAAAAAAAAA